UACGGAGGAUGCAAGCGUUAUCCGGAAUGAUUGGGCGUAAAGCGUCCGCAGGUGGCUGUGUAAGUCUGCUGUUAAAGAGUGAGGCUCAACCUCAUAAAAGCAGUGGAAACUACACGGCUAGAGUGCGUUCGGGGCAGAGGGAAUUCCUGGUGUAGCGGUGAAAUGCGUAGAUAUCAGGAAGAACACCGGUGGCGAAGGCGACUACCUGGCCUGUUCUUGACGCUGAGGCGCGAAAGCUAGGGGAGCAAACGGG
rnacentral:rRNA from 1 species